UACGUAGGUGGCAAGCGUUAUCCGGAAUACUGGGCGUAAAGCGCACGCAGGCGGUCUUUUAAGUUUGACGUGAAAGCUCUCGGCUUAACUGGGAGAGGUCGUUGAAUACUGGAAGACUUGAGGAAAUGAGAGGGGUGUAGAAUUCCCGGUGUAGUGGUGGAAUGCGUAGAUAUCGGGGGGAAUACCAGUGGCGAAAGCGGCACCCUAGCAUUUUACUGACGCUCAUGUGCGAAAGCGUGGGAGCGAACGGG
rnacentral:rRNA from 1 species